GCUUCCGAGAGAGAACCACCUCUGGAAAGAAGGAAGCGAGGAAGAGAGAGCCCUGGUGCACACGAGAAUUUAGAGUUCCAGAAGAGGAGGAGGAUCCAGCAAAGGCAACUGGGAAGGAGUGACUUGGAAGUCCUAGGUCACAGUGGAAUCAGAAUUCGAAUCUCCUCUGCUGGCCUCCAUACUUCCAGCUGCACUCCAUGCCUCCAAGCCCAGAACUAGAGAAGUAGCAGAAGGAAUAGGAAGGAGGGCACAGAUAUGAGGAUGCUCCCAAAGAACAGAAUUUGGAACUAAGAGUCAGCCUCUGUCCAGUUCAGACGGGACAAGACCGCCAACCCACCAACUGUGCCUGCUCAGGUGUCCAGUAGGUGAACUCCUGACUUUAGGGAACUAAACAUUCCACCCUCGGAUCAUGCUAAUGCCACCAUUUUGUGACCAUGCAUCCUGUGAAGAGCCAUGAAGCCUGGCUACACUUGUGCAGAUCAACAAUUACCUCACUCCUCCUUGCCUCGAACCAUCUGUCACCAUACUUUAGACCACUUUGCCAGAUUAUCCCAUAAAUAUCCCUAAUCCCCAUGUUUUGGAGAAGCAGAUUUGGGAUUUGUUCUCCUGCCUCCUCACUUGGCUGCC
rnacentral:lncRNA from 1 species